CUCUCCUCCUGCCGUUAGGUUGGCUCCUCCCUGAGGACGGAGGGCUGCCGUGCGAGUGCCUGAGAGCGGCGGCGGGAGUUAGGGGCUCGACAACUUGCCGGAGGCUGGGCCUCAGGAGCCAGCGAAAGAAUAAUAAUAAAAAAUGGCUGACAACCUGGACCAAUUCAUUGAAGACCAGAAAGCCAAGUUGGCCCAAGACAAAGCAAAACUUGAAAACGAUCCUCCUUACAUGGAAAUGCCGAACAAAAGUGCAGAGAAACUUUCUGAGACCAGCAAAAUGUUAAUAUCCAUGGCUAAAGAAAACAUCCCACCAAACAGUCAGACUGGUGUUCACGACUAUGGCUUAAGCUUGCCUCUUGGGGAAGAAUAUGAACAUAAAAAACACAAGCUAAAGGAGGAACUCCGACAAGACUACAGGCGUUAUCUUUCUCAGGGUAUUUCACAGGCAAAAAAGAAGAAGAAGUAUCUUGCAUCUGGUGAAGUUGACCCAUAUACUCAGGGAGUAUCACUUCCUAUUGGUGAGAGGAGGUCUGCUAAGGACAGGUUAAGACUUGAAAGAAACAAAGAAUACAAUCAGUAUCUCAGGGAAAAGGAAGAAUGGAAUGAAAAGCUAAGAAGAGUAGGGAAGAAGCACACAGAGCAUGACACGAACACACAGAAAAAAAGCGCUUCUGUUAUCAGAUCCCAGCCAGAAUUACAUAUCCGAGGUUUAUCUCCAAGAAGAGAUGAAUACUCCUUCAAGAAAGAUGCUUGUACUUCUACUGAGGGCUAUGAAUUGCUACCAAAUAAGAGACAAUCAUUAGAUCAGUAUCACAAGCCAGAUAAUGAAAGUGGACAUAGGAACAGAAUAUUACACAAAAAACUUGAUGAAGAAUUGAAAACUUCCAACAGAAAGCACCAAAGGCUGGGCAGCAAACCUGAUAUUUCUAUUGGAAGGCAUCGUCAGUUUAAUGAGGACAAUUCUGAUGAUGCAAUGGACCCUAGGUUUCGAUAUGAAAGUGACUAUGAUAAGAAGCCAUUGCGAGUCUUUCAUACUUUAAGAAGCCAAGGCAAUUCUUCAACUGAGCAGACUGCUCCUUUUGGUGUUCCAUAUGCAACAGGGCUCAUACUUGCGGGGCAAGACAGAGAACGUAUUCAGAGAAGAAAAGAACAGUAUAGGCAAGAUCUGUUGGAGCAAAUGGCUGAGCAGCAGAGAAAUAAGAGACGUGAAAAGGAACUCGAGUUCUCAGUUGCUGCAUCUGGAGCUCUAGACCCUGAGAAAAAGCUAAGUGAAGAAAAGCCCGACAGACUGAAAGAGCUGGGAUUAACACCACAGAUUUCUGAGGAGAGAAUUCCACCAGAAAGACCCAGACUAGCCUUUCAAACACCUACACCUGGACCUUAUUCCACAUCUGCACCUCCUAUCUCACCCGUGAAUGAAGAUUUUCACAGAGGGUUGUCCACUACGCUUGGAGAAAUGUUAGCUCCCAGAAUUGCACCCCUUCCUCCACCACCACCACCAAUUCUGACAGAUAAUUACCGGACUCCAUAUGAUGAUGCAUACUACUUCUAUGGAGCCAGGAAUCCUUUGGAUCCUAGUCUUGCAUACUAUGGUACAAGCGUAAUGGGAGUGCAGCCUGCCCCUGCUCCUCCACCUGUUCUUGAAACUGUUCAAAGACCACUUCCAGUGUCUGCAUGUAAAAUUGGAGCCCAAGUCACAAAUGAUAGACCAAGAGGUCUGGGAGCAUUUCCUGAAGAAAAACCAAAGCCUUCAAAAGAGGCUACUUUAACUUACCAACAAGAAUUGCAACAGCAGAUAAGGGAAAGGGAACAACGUCGCAGGCAAGAGAAGGAGGAAAGGGAACGGUAUGAUGCCAGAUUAGAAGCUGAAAUGAGAAAUUACAACCCUUGGGGAAAAGGAGGUGGUGGUGCUCCUCUCAGAGAUAAAAAAGGAAACCUCAUAACUGACUUGAAUAUGAUGCACAAGCAAAAUGAAGAUGCAUAUCAUAAUCCAGAGGCAAGAAUAUAUGAAGAUAAAAGAGCUAUAGUAUCUGUUGACCUAAGUUUGGCCUCCCCAAGACUUGAGAAUACAGAUGAAUCUACAAAUAAAAUAGCAGGUUUUACAUAUACACAAACAUCUCCAUUUGCUCGUGGUAAUGUUUUUGGUGAGCCCCUGACACCUGAACAGCUUAGGCGGCAAGAAUCAUACAAGAACUUCCUUCGUUUUCAGAUUGAAGAAAAACGAAAAAAAGAAGAAGCAGAGCGUGAAAAAAGAAGGCUUGAAGAUGAAAGGGAAGAAAAAAUACUAGCUGAGCAAAGGGCUAGAAUUCAGAGAGAAUAUGAAGAAGAACUGGAAAAGAGGAGAAGGAAAGAGGAGGAGCAAAGGUUGAAAAAUGAAGAGCUGUAUCGAUUAGCUGAAGAAAGGAAAACAGAGGCAGAGAAAAAGAAAAAAGACGAAGAAGAAAGGUGGGAUAAGCAGUUUCAGGAGCAAGGCAAAACAGAGAAGCAUAUAAUGAUUGAAGAAGACAAGAUUUCUAGACCACCUUCUCCUCUCAUCCCAACUCUUCAGAACAAGGGAUUAUUAAAAGAAGAAAGAUCGCUUUUGAUGGAAAGCCGUACAUCUUACUAUACACACGAUCUUCCACAACACAGAGUUCCAUCUCCUCCAGUCCCAGCUAGAAGAAACCAGAUACGUGCAUAUGAAGAAAGGAAGAAUGUAAUAAGUGAACUGUCAGAGAUGAGGAAACAGCUCCGCAGUGAAGAGCGACGACUACAGGAGCAAUUGUUAAAAGUGAAUAGUGAUGAUGACGACAUGCAAGCAAAAGGCAGGAGGAAGGAGAAAAUGGAUGUAUUUGAGAUGGCUAGACUUCGUAUGCAAGCUCCAGUCAGGCGACCGUCAUCAAAGGAGGUUGUUGAUCCCUUCAAUGUACAAAACAUCCGUGACUUCAAUGAACUUAAAUACAAAGAUUCAGAAACACGGGUAGAAAUGAGAUACAGGUAUCCUGAUCCUCCCACUAAUGACGACGCUCUGGACAUUCAGCAACAGGCAUUGCUAAGGGAGCAAAAAAAGAAACUAAACAAAAUGAAGAAAAAUGCAGAAGCUGUCGUAGAUUUUGAUGAGCCUGUAUCCACCUUUAAAUCGAAAGACAGGGGAAUGGUGAGGGAUGAUGAGUUAGAUGGAUUUGCAAAAAAUUCACUUUUGGAAUCUGACAGUGCUUUUAUUGGUACUGAUGGUGAGGCCUUUCCUACUUCAGAAGAACCUGCCUUCAGCAGGAAUUUAACUCCACCACCCAUAUCUGCAAGAGAAAGGAGGCAAGAGAAGAAAAAGGAUGAUACCCUUUUUAGGUCGAGUCCAUCGCCACAACCUGACAGCUACUCUGUGCACUCAGCAUCUAGUCUUAAUAUCGAUAAGUUGAAAGCCAGAAAUGAAGAGCGACUGCAAAGACUGAAUGAACUUCAGAAGAAGACAAUCCAUAUAGGUUAGCAUUUUGCAUCACCAAAAUCUGGACUCAUUUUUGACAUUUUCUUUGUAGAGAGGAAGUGAUGGUCAGGCUUUGACGGAAUAAUCAAUUUAUGCAGACAAACUUCUGAUAAAAUCUACCAUUCGUUAGAUUCUACUCUCUCUGCCUUGAGGAAAGAAAAAUAACUCCCACUGCCCAAUCCCUGGUUCUGGGUAUUUAACUAGAUAAGCAGCAGUUAGAAAUAUCAUAAAUAUGUCUCCUGCCAUUUUGUUCUGAAGAAUGAAGCUUCACAGCAAAUAAAACCUCAUUAGAAAAAGAGUUUAUGAAUGUAAUCUCUUAUAUCUAGAAUCGAUUUUUUUCUUCUAUGUAAUAUAACAACAUAAAUAAAUCUAUAGGCAGACAGUAAACAUCACCGCUUCACAGGGUUGCUGGAGACAUAUAUCUGGGUAUUUCGAAAAAGAACUGAAAUAGAAUGUUAACACCUGUACAGUUAAGUACAUGAUAUUUCUAGCUGUAGUAUGAAAACAAUGGAUUGCUACCUGCCCUCCGCCCCCUGGUAAAAUGUUUGUGUGUUCCACCUCCAAGUCAUUAUCUGUUAUAGAAGAUGGAUAUUUCUGGUGCGAUAUUCUCAGGACUGUAAGAACUGGGUGGGGUCAUUCUUCCCAGGCUUUUAAAGCUUUGCUUAAUUUACAUAGUCCUGCCUCUGGAGCACAUGGGAAGGAUAAACCCACACAAUAUGACCUCAUCGAGCAGCAGAAAAGUAAUACCUUUAUUGAGUAAAGUUCUGUUGUUGAUGGUGGAUUCCUCUUAUAAUAUUAAGCUCUCUCAAAGAAGGGUAAGGAUUCCUCUGUUUGCAUGGUUAAUAUUUUCUAAGGACUAAGCACUUUGAUGUGGAAGAAGAGCUUUAAAAGCCCAACUUGCUUUGGAGGAAUUUCCGGAUAACUUUCCUAGGCUCACUAAACUGUGUAUUCUAGUUUGGGAUAAAAGUGAACCUAAUCCUUGGAUUUAACUUCAUUAGAUGCAUAGCACUGUUUGGAAACUUUCAGUGGAAAUCCACCACCAGUUCAUAAGAUCAUAAGAACAGCCCUGCUGGAUCAGGCCCAAAGCCCAUCUAGUCCAGCAUCCUGUUUCACACAGUGGCCCACCAGAUGCCAGUGGAAGCCUACAGGCAGGAGUUGUGGGCAUGUCCUCUCUCCUGCUGUUACUUCGCUGCAACUGGGACUCAGAGGCAGAGGAUGGGAGUUGCAGAGGAUGGGAAUUGCAGAGGAUGGGAGUUGCAGGCCAACAACAGCUGGAGGGCCAAAGUUGUACUACCCUCUCCUACAUUCAUUGGCAGUGACUCUCUGAGGUUUUGAGCAGGAGUCUUUCCCCAGCCCUCACUGAAGAUGCCAGGGAUUGAACUGGGGACCUUCUGCAUGCAAAGCAGAUGCUUGAUCCCUGAGUUAUGGCCCCAUCCCCAGUUGGGUUGUUGCCCAGUCUGUGCCCCCCAUCUCUAGGGAUGUGCACUAACCUCAGUUUGUGCAGUGGUUCAAAAUUGAACCGGUCCGUGGUUUGGCAAACCAGUCCGUUCCAAUUUGGCCCAACCAUGAAUCAGUUUGGCAGUGAGAGCAACGCCAGGGGUUGGGGGUUUUCUUCCCCUGUACAUCCUCUACAGAAGCCCUGUUCAGAUAUUAUGCUGUACAUGCAUGCAGGUGUUUGUACACAUGUAUAUGAAGACUGUAUAUGCAUUCAUUUAAAAAGUGAAUCUGAGUAUAAAUGAUGUAUGAAUAAUUACGUGCAUACACUGUACAGUGUAUUGCUUUGAAUACAGCUCCAGUUUCCUCCAAACAUAAGAACAGCCCUGCUGGAUCAGGCCCAAGGCCCAUCAUCCUGUUUCGCACAGUGGCCCAUCAGAUGCCGCUGGAAGCCACAGGCAGGAGUUGAGGGCGUGCCCUCUCUCCUGCCAUUACUCCCCUGCAGCUGGUACUCAGAGGCAUCCUGCCUUUGAGGCUGGAGGUGGCCCACAGCCCUCCGACUGGUAGCCAUUGAUAGACCUCUCCUCCAUGAAGUCAUCCAAACCCCUUUUAAAGCCAUCCAGCUGUUGGCUGUCACCACAUCCUGUGGCAGAAAGUUCCACAGGUGGAUCAUGCGUUGUGUGAAAAAGUACUUCCGUUUGUUGGUCCUAGACCUCCUGGCAAUCAAUUUCAUGGAGUGAUCCCUGGUUCUAGUGUUGUGUGAGAGGGAAAAGAAUUUCUUUCUCUCCACUUUCUCCACAACAUGCAUGAUUUUAUAGACCUCUAUCAUGUCUCCCCGCAGUCAUCUUUUUUCUAAACUAAAAAGCCCCAGGUGUUGUAGCCUUGCCUCAUAAGAAAGGUGCUCCAGGCCCCUGAUCAUCUUGGUUGCCCUCUUUGCAACUUUUCUAGUUCUGCAAUGUCCUUUUUAAGAUGUGGUGACCAGAAUUGUACACAGUACUCCAAGUGUGGUCGCACCAUAGUUUUGUAUAAAGGCAUUAUAAUAUUAGCGGUUUUAUUUUCAGUCCCCUUCCUAAUGAUCCCUAGCAUGGAAUUGGCCUUUUUCACAGCUGCCGCACAUUGAGUCGACACUUUCAACGAGCUGUCCACCACGACUCCAAGAUCCCUCUUCUGGUCAGUCACCGACAGCUCAGAUCCCAUCAGCAUAUACUUGAAGUUGGGGUUUUUCGUCCCAAUGUGCAUCACCUUACACUUGCUAACAUUGAACCGUGUUUGCCACUUUGUCGCCCACUCCCCCAGUUUGGAGAGAUCCUUUUGGAGCUCCUCACAAUCUGUUUUGGAUUUCACUACCCGAAAGAGUUUGGUAUCAUCUGCAAAUCUGGCCACCUCGCUGCUUACCCCUACUUCUAGAUCAUUUAUGAAUAAAUUAAAAAGCACCGGUCCUGUUACAGAUCCAUGGGGGACCCUACUUCUUACUUCCCUCCAUUGUGAAAACUCUCCAUUUAUACCUACCCUCUGUUUCCUGUCUUUCAACCAGUUAGCAAUCCACACAUGUACUUGUCCCCUUAUCCCAUGACCGCUAAGUUUCCUCAGGAGUCGUUGAUGAGGAACUUUGUCAAAAGCUUUUUGGAGGUCCAGGUAUACUAUGUCAACUGGAUUACCUUGAUCCACACACUCGUUGACACUCUCAAAAAAGUCCAAAAGUUUGGUGAGGCAAGAUUUAACUUUGCGGAGGCCAUGCUGGUUCACUCCCAGCAGGGCCUGUUCUUCUAUGUGCUUUCCAAUUUUAUCCUUGAGGAUGCUUUCCAUCAAUUUGCCUGGAACGGAUGUUAGGCUAACCAGCCUGUAACUUCCCAGAUCGCCCCCUGGGUCCCUUUUUGAAAAUCGGUGUUACAUUUGCUACUCUCCAGUCUUCUGGUACAGAGCCCAAUUGCAGGGAUAAGUUAUAUAUUUUAGCAAAAAGGUCAGCAAUUUGACAUUUGAGUUCUUUGAAGACUUUUGGAUGGAUGCCAUCUGGCCCUGGUGACUUGUUAGCUUUCAGUUUUUCCAGACAGUUUAGAACAUCAUCUCUUGUAACUUCUAUCUGACUCAGCUCUCUAGCCUCCAUCCCUAAUAAGCCUGGUUCAGGAACAGGUAUAUACUCAGUAUCCUCUGUCGUGAAGACAGACACAAAGAACUCAUUCAGCUUCUCUGCAACUUCCAUAUCCUCCUUAAUAAUCCCUUUCACUCCCUCAUUGUCUAAUGGUCCAACCGCCUCCCUGGCAGGUUUCCUGCAUCUGAUGUUUUCAAAGAAGUUUUUGUUAUUCCCCUUGAUACUUUUGGCUAAAUGUUCCUCAAACUCUUUUUUUGCCUCCCUUAUUGUCACCUUGCAUUUCUUUUGCCAGAGUUUGUGUUCCUUUCUGUUCUCUUCAUUUGGACAGGGCUUCCAAUUUUGGAAGGAAGUCUUCUUCCCAUUUAUGGCUUCCUUGCUGGUACCCGUUAGCCAUGUUGGCAUCCUCCUGGACUUAGAUUGUAUACCCAAAAGGAGGAAAGGUACCACUAACUGGGCUUCUAGUAUUGUGGUUUUGAGUAAACUCCAUGCACUCUGGAACGAAGUGACUCUCCUGAUUUUCCCUUUCAGCUUUCUUUUCACCAUACUCAUUUUGGAGAAGUUUCCUCUUCUGAAAUUCAAAAUGUCCAUGUUAGACUUCCUUGGUGAUUCUCUCCCCACAUGUAUGCUGAAUUUGAUGGCACUAUGGUCACUGUUCCCUAGAGGGUCGAUGACACUGACAUCACGCACCAGGUCCUGGGUGCCACUCAGAAUUAGGUCCAAGGUCGCCUUCUAUUUGGUUGGUUCCAAGACCAAAUGUUCUAGGGCAAAGCCAUUUAGCGUAUCUAGAAAUUUGACCUCUUUGUCCUGACCUGACUGUGAAUUUACCCAGUCUAUGUGUGGGUAAUUGAAGUCACCCAUAAUUACAGCCCUGCCUCUCCUUGAUGCUUCCCUGAUUUCCUCCUGCAACUCCCAGUCACUGUCGGCGUUUUGAUCCGGAGGGCGAUAGCACGUCCCCAGUAGCACGUUCCCUUUCAGGCCUUGUAUUGUCACCCACAGGGUUUCUGUGGAGGACUCCAGUCCAUCUAGGUUUUCUAGCUUGUUAGAUUCUAUGCCUUCUUUAACAUACAGUGCUACUCCACCACCAAGGUGCUCCUCCCUGUCCUUUCUGUAUACCCAGGGAUAACAGUGUCCCACUGGUUCUCACUGUUCCACCAUGUUUCUGUUAUGCCCACUAUAUCUAUUUCUGCAUUAGCAACCAAGCACUCCAGCUCACCCAUCUUGGCUCAGAGGCUUCUGGCAUUGGCAUAUAUGCACCUAUACUCAGAGUCUCUCACCUGAUGUAUGCUAUUCUUUUGACUUUUUGACUUGCUGGCACUGGCUCCCGUCUGCUCUUUAUGCGGCUCUGCUCUGUCCCCUUCUGUUUUAUCUGAAUUCUUUGCACCCUCACACUUUAAAGGAUGGCUUUUGCCACAUGGGAUACUGCCCAGCUGCCAUUGGCUGUUCCCCAGGCAUCAUUUUAAAAGCUGCUCUGCAACCUUUUUGAUUUUAAGCGCCAGCAGUCUGGUUCCAUCUUGGUUCAAGUGCAGCCUGUUCCUUUUGUACAGGCCUUGCUUUCCCCCAAAUGUAUCCCAGUGCUUAACAAAUCUAAACCCCUCCUUCUGGCACCAAUGUCUCAUCCACGCAUUGAAACCCCUCAGUCUCACCCCUGUCUCACUGUACUUGCGCGUGGAACAGGUAGCAUUUCUGAGAAUGCUAGCUUGGGGUCCUGGACUUCAAUACACUACCUAUCAGCCUAAAUUUGGCUUCCAGGACCUCCCGACUACAUUUCCUCACAUUGUUGGUGCCAACAUGCACCACAACAGCUGUCUCCUUUCCAGCACUGCCUGAGAGCCUGUCUAGAGGCUGCGUGAUGUCCGCAACCUUUGCACCAGGCAGGCAAGUCAUCAGGCGGUCAACACGUGGGUCACAAACCCAUCUCUCUAUACCUCAAAUGAUUGAAUCACCCACUACAAGGAGGCCCCCACCCCCCAGAGGAGUGUCCCCUGUGUGAGAGGAUAUGGGCUCAUCAUCCACGGAAGGGGUCCCUUCUAAAGGAGCAUUUCCCUCUUCCUCAGACCGAUGUCGUCCUUGCCCAAGACCUUCAUUCUCCCUGACAGCAGAGGAGCUUCCAGCCCUGGAGUGGGAUGCCUCUGUCACAUCCCUGAAGGUCUCGUCCACAUUCCUCUGUCUCUGAGCUUUUCCAGAUCUGCCACCUUGGUCUCAAGGGAAUGAAUUUGUUCCUCGAGUGCCAGGAGCUCCUUGCACCGAGCAAACAACCAUGACUUCUGCCCAUGGGGCAAAUAGUCAUACAUGUGGCACUCUGUGCAAUACACUGGGAAGUGCCCCUUCCCCUCUCCUAUAAAAGUAGUAUGGGCAUGAGGAAGACUAGCAUAUGGGACACAGUGGCUAGCUCACCAUCUCAUGGUUUUUGAAAAGAUUAUGGGAACAUGCAGACCGCCAUUUCCACUUUCUAACAGAAAGCAUGCAUUUUAUGUUAACUAAAAUCUUUCGAACGUAUUUCAUCUCAUUGUAUUUGGGCUUGGCACAUCAAUUCUUGAAGAAGAAUAGUAAAAGUUUGAAAACUUAGGUAAUUUUGAGUCUGGGAAACAUGUUGUCAUACCACUAGUGUGCCGUUGAAUAAUAGCAGAAGCUGAACUUAGUUUCUCUUCCCCAAGGUGGUGAUAUUUCUCCGGGAAAUGCUGAUGACAUCCUGAAGCAGUUGCCUUCCAAAGAUGGCCGAAGGUCUGACUCUGUUGACACUGUGGCAACUGAGCUGUGGCUGAGACCCGGGACAUCAGAAACUCUUAAAAGAUUUAUGGUGGAAGAGUCAAGUCAGGCUAAACUUUCUUCUGAGAAGAACUUACCGUUCAGUUGGCAGGGUCUGUCAACUGCACAUGGCUAAAUAAA